rnacentral:rRNA from 1 species
CCUACGGGAGGCAGCAGUGAGGAAUAUUGGUCAAUGGACGAGAGUCUGAACCAGCCAAGUAGCGUGAAGGAUGACUGCCCUAUGGGUUGUAAACUUCUUUUAUAUGGGAAUAAAACGUUCCACGUGUGGGAUUUUGUAUGUACCAUAUGAAUAAGGAUCGGCUAACUCCGUGCCAGCAGCCGCGGUAAUACGGAGGAUCCGAGCGUUAUCCGGAUUUAUUGGGUUUAAAGGGAGCGUAGGUGGAUUGUUAAGUCAGUUGUGAAAGUUUGCGGCUCAACCGUAAAAUUGCAGUUGAAACUGGCAGUCUUGAGUACAGUAGAGGUGGGCGGAAUUCGUGGUGUAGCGGUGAAAUGCUUAGAUAUCACGAAGAACUCCGAUUGCGAAGGCAGUUCACUGGACUGCAACCGACACUGAGGCUCGAAAGUGUGGGUAUCAAACAGGAUUAGAUACCCCAGUAGUC